GUGACUCUGUGGGGCGCCUCUGAAGCGUAGCGAUCUCUUCUCCCUCUUCCGGAGGUCUGUGGAGGAGGAGGAAAGUUAACGGAGUUAGUGAAAUACCGGUAGUGGUAAUAAACAUUUGUAGGCGCUUCGCCAGGGGGCUUAUCCACGUCUACAGAUAGGCAUCUGGCAAGGUCCCGAGACAAUGCAAGAAAAACGGCUCCCCACCCUCAGAAGGCCUGAGUGCUGCCAACUACUUCGGAAACAGAAACUGCUCGUUGGUAACCUCCUGGCAGGCCCACACCAGCCACUCCGGGAAGCCCCCAGGGUUAUAAUAAGGAGUGUUCACAGGACCUCAGGGGAAAAAAAUGCAGUAUCUCUCAAGACUCACCACUCAAUCACAGCAUAAUUGGCAACAGAAUCCUUUGCUGAGAUCAGCCCCUGUCCCUGGACAUCCCCCAGACUGCAUCAUAAUCCACAUGCAGUUCUUUUUCCAUUUUAUUAAAAUUGUUAUAAAAUAAACAGAACAAAAGUUUUUGCUUAUUUUUGAA